rnacentral:other from 1 species
UCACCCCUGGGUUAUUCGCCAGCUGCGAAAAGUCCUCGAGCCUAUUUUACGAAUUUAGGGGAUUUCUCGCGAUGUUGUGUGCAUGUCUGCUCCGGCAGAAAGCCUAAUUCAUUGCAGGAGUCACCGCCUUGAACUGUUUGGUUCAAGGUCUUCCGUAGCAGCGGUAAUUUGGGGGCUUA